UCCUCGCUGCCUCCGUGGACAAGGGGAACUGGUGCUGAGCUGCCGUGGCGCGGCAACCCGAUAUUUUAUACCGUGAAACCUGUCUGUCUCUUCACCAGCCGGCUUCGCUUAAUAAGCAGCUUUCAAAAUAGAAAUGUAAUGGGGUGAGCGAGAGGGGGAGGGCCCGCCCGGAGGGUCCCAAGGGAAAAGAGAGAGAGAGAGAGAGACAGAAGUGAAGGAUGGAAGCAGCGAGUGAUUGAUUGCUCGUUGGGCGACUUACCGACCACCACUGCUGACGCCUCCCUUGCGCAGCGCGUCAGUAACGAAUGACAGCCACUUAGCCGCUGUUUGCCUACAAUUUCGUGAAAGCGUUUUAAUUAUCGCCCCGACGAAAUUCCUACCAUUGACGUUUGGACGCUACCGACACUACUGGGCUAAGACAGCACCCCAGUAACCGGGUGGUUACACCCUGAUAAAAGAUAAGGAAUGGCCAAGAGAGCAGGCCACAACUGAUCCGGUGCUAUGUCUCUUGAUUCUUGUAUCCGAUGAUUGAUGAUUUAUGACAGCAAUCGUAUUUCUCGCUACCUUAACCUUCUGCCCCAGAGGAGAAAUAGAUUGCUGUAAUCAAAUGACGCGCCAUCAAAUGUUGUUUUUCACUGGCUGUCUGUCACUGAGUGAUUCUACGCAGCUCUGUGAUGGUUCCCAGUUUCUCUCUGACCUCUUUCCUCUGUGUAUAUUAUAGUUAUGUAUACAGGGGCGGAGGGAAGGGGCUGGCGAGGAUGAAAGGAGCCGACAGCGUCCAGCAGCGAGCCAUGCAUCACAGCUCCACGGCCUAAGUAAAUAAGCGACACCCGCCGCAUGCGGUCGUCGCCUAAGCCUUGUAUAGCAUAUAUAUAUAUAUAUAUCGCGGCAUAGUGCGUUGAGUUGGGCUGUGUAGGCGGGGUAAACUGACGAAAUGCCUUUCUCAAUGAUUGACGAUUUAAUUUUGGGGCGUGAGCCCAGUGUGAUUAGGGAUUCAAAUGAAAGAGAGAGUAGGCACUUCAUUCAGCGCAAAAAUUGAUAAUUCCUUGAUAAAUGGACAAAGGGAAAUUGUUGUAAAAAUUCCGAAGACUACUGAUGCUAGUUUCAACGGACCAGAACAAAAAUCUUGUAAAUUCGUCAGUUGUAAAUCGACGCCCCAAUGGCCAUUCCGCAUGGCUUCAUCGCGCCCAAAUUUUUCAUUGUAAUGUUUACAAUUUUUCUCGAAUUUACUGGAGAUUCCUUCCGGCUAAAUGUGCAUCGACAGGAAUGUAGUCAGGGGUGAUGAUAUACUGGUGGAUGAAAUGCAUGGAGAGAGGUGGAUCAUAAGCUCCCCCAGGAACUCGACAGGUUUGAUCCUGAUAUUUACGAGCGUAAGGACACGGACUAAAUUAAUGCGAUACAACCAAGCGGGGCUUAUGCUAUGCGCUUUUGCAACGGUGUAUAUUCCAGUUUGAGAGGUUUAUACUGCGAGAAAGGGGCGGGAGGGAGGGGGACAUAUGGUAAAGGUGAGAUUCAGAGGUGAAUGAUGAAUUGGAAUUAUUUCGCAGGGAUUUUGAACUUUCAGUUGAGGAUCAGCUGUGAUUUCGGAUAUUUUAUUCUUUAAUUCUCAAGAAUAACUGCCGACGUUUGCACUGCUUCCUUUCAUAUUUCUGACACGCAAAAAAAUUUGAGCUUUAAUUACUUGUUGUUAAAUAUAAUUUAGAAUUUAUUAUUAAUGAAAAGUAAAAAAACCAAGUAAAUAACGCGGAAUUUUCCAACUGACAAAUUGAUCAGACUGUAAAUUUAUCACUUCAUAAAUUGAAUUAUUUUUCCCACUGAAUGAAAAAUAUCACGUCUCAAUAAUCUAAUUCAGUGGAUAAUGUUUCCAUGAUUUUGUCAGACUUGUUUACAAGAGAAAAAAAAAUAAACAGAAAAAAAUACUCUUCGCAACGGGAGUUCAGUAAUUUAUGUCCCAGAUUUCACAGAAAAAAAAACACUGAUUAUACAACCACUAUCAUUGAGAAUGAUUUCAAAUUUAUUCUUGAUCAUCGUUAAUCCCCACGACAUUGACUUCUCAGAAGCUUUUAUUGGUCCUCAUACUCACUCCACCGGCAGUAAAUUAUAUUUACGAUUAUUAAUGGCCUACGGAUUUAUCACAAGGGGACAACAGCUGCUGGUAUAUUCUCUAAACCGUGAAGUGAGUAGCGGGAAAGCGAGAAUAAGUCGUAAAAAAGCGACAACAUUUAUACGAAUUUGAAAUAAAACUAAAAGGUAUGAAGUCGUAAAUUCAAUUAAAAAACUUUGAGAUUAGCUGACUCGUAGGCUUCACCCAACGCGUCAUAAAAUAUCGCCUGACAUUUAGGAUUAUUCAAAUGCAUUCUUCUUACAUUCCCCUCCAUUUUCCAUCGAAUCAAUUGAAAUGAAAAUAGUGAGGCGGUCAUCACUGCGGUUAAAUCAAUAAAAUCGAAUGAUUAUUAACAACUUCAAAUGAACAGAACAGAAAUUACGAAGGAUUAUCCCUUUCAGAUUCACCGCAUCGAUAACUUUCUCGAAGGCUAUCGCACAGUCACUCUCAAAUCGCCGCUCAAUUGCGUAAUUCGCAUGAUUGAAUCGGCAAAAAUAACUCCGGCAAUAAUAAAUAAAAUAAUAAAUCCUGACAGUAUGAGAAAAUAAAAAAUAUAAAAUUCCGCAAUGAGUGAGAACGUCGGUAGUACGAGACAUUAAUCGCCCUUAUCCGUACGAACAAAAUGUCAAGAGUGUCAGUUGAUAAUGUGCGGUAGAUAAAUCAAGACUGGUGAAAAGAUGACGGUGAUAAAUGUAAACACGCCUUUGGGUUUAUGUGUGGUGAGGCGGCGGAAAUACGAUGGAGAAAUGCCCCCGAGGCAGGCUCUGUGAGGUGCAGAGGGGUGGGAAGGGAUAGUAAACUGAGAGAGUGCACGUUGCCCAGCGGGUCAUGACUGAUGGCGAUGUCAUGAGACGCGGUAUCAUAAUAAUUCAUGAGUACCGUAGCCCCCAACUUAAUCGUUGAUUAAUGAAACAACGACCUCGUCACGAUUAUUUCAUUUUUUCAUCAUCCUAAUCCCUCAUUCACUCAGUUUCUGUUCCCAGGAGGAGUUCAGAGAAUCUCAGACUUGAUGAAAAUUAAAUGGUGGUGGUUGAGAGAAAACAUGGCAACAGUGCCUCGAUUAUGGAGUAAAUGGACUUACCGAUUGAGCGUAUGCGUAUAGGGCCUCCAUUUUUUCAAAUAUUAUCACUGGCACCAUCGUCAGCCCUCUCUUUCUCUCAAUUAUCUCGUCCAUUUUAUUUUACCUCCCUCGAUGGACUCUUAUCUAAUAUAAUUUCAAUUUUUAUUCACUUAUUU